rnacentral:rRNA from 1 species
AGUGAACGCUGGCGGUAGGCCUAACACAUGCAAGUCGAACGGCAGCACAGUAAGAGCUUGCUCUUACGGGUGGCGAGUGGCGGACGGGUGAGGAAUACAUCGGAAUCUACUUUUUCGUGGGGGAUAACGUAGGGAAACUUACGCUAAUACCGCAUACGACCUACGGGUGAAAGCAGGGGAUCUUCGGACCUUGCGCGAUUGAAUGAGCCGAUGUCGGAUUAGCUAGUUGGCGGGGUAAAGGCCCACCAAGGCGACGAUCCGUAGCUGAUCUGAGAGGAUGAUCAGCCACACUGGAACUGAGACACGGUCCAGACUCCUACGGGAGGCAGCAGUGGGGAAUAUUGGACAAUGGGCGCAAGCCUGAUCCAGCCAUACCGCGUGGGUGAAGAAGGCCUUCGGAUUGUAAAGCCCUUUUGUUGGGAAAGAAAAGCAGCAGGUUAAUACCCCGCUGUUCUGACGGUACCCAAAGAAUAAGCACCGGCUAACUUCGUG